rfam:Gossypium raimondii Chr05_contig_487, whole genome shotgun sequence.
UAUUAAAAAUUCCAUCAAUUUAUUCUUUUAAAAAUUAACAAGGUUACCAGAAUAACCAGACAAUAACACGUGGCAUGCCACUUUUACCUUAUGUUGAUGUACAACGACCAGUUUUUAACAGUAGAAAUGGAUGAAAUAUUUAACA